GAAAUUCCUCAGAGGCUUGAAGUCUGUGACCUCAGAGAGGCAGCCUUCUGAACGGAGUUUUCAGACACCUGGAAAGUUCCAUUGUCAGUGUCAUCCUCAUUGUAGUAUAAGGAGUUGUGGAUUGCAGAGCAACUGGAUAGGAGAGGAGCAGCCCUGCUGAAGCUCUUUACUCAUUUUUAAUAGGUUCAAUUAGAGCUGACACUUUAAGCAACAUGGAUUGCUCAUCUCAAAAGCUCGACAAAAGUGACUCGAUACACCACAUGAGCCACCCCCAGACACGGCCAGAGCUGCCUCCCCUGCCUGCGUCUGUCGAUGAGGAACCAUCUGAACUCUAUCAGACUGUCAUGUCACACAGCUUUUAUCCCCCACUGAUGCAACGCACAUCAUGGACCCAGUCUGUGCCCUUCAAAGAGCAGUACCACCACCGAGGACCCAGUGAUUCCAUUGCCAACAAUUACUCACUGAUGGCCCAAGAUCUAAAGCUGAAAGACCUGAUAAAGAUCUACCAGCCAGUCACCAUCAAUACCUCUAGGGACAAGAUCACUCGGGGGAUGCCAUCAGGAACUAAAAGCUCAUCACAGCGCAACAAGAAGAUGUUCUCCUCCAGAGUCAGUGAGGAUCCCACUCGGACCAAGAUGGCCUGCAACGUCUCAGCAUCCUCACGCAUGAAGAAAGAGGUGAAUGCAUCUUUGACCCUCCCAGGAAGCAGACCAAUGAGUCCAGAACAGCAGAUUAAUGUGAUGUUACAGCAGGAGAUGGAAAUAGAAAGUAAAGAAAAAACUCCAUCUGCAUUAGACCUGGAGAGAUACUGUUACUAUUUGACCAACGGAAUCCGAAAAGACAUGAUUGCCCCUGAGGAGGACGGAGUGAUGGUUCGGAUUUCAAAGCUGAUUUCUAACAAGCUGCUGACAAGUCCCUCCUUGGAACGCCUGCUGGUCACCCUUGUGGGUGAAACAGAAAAUGACUACUACAGUAGCCUCAUGAAAAGCAUUGUUGAUUAUAUCCUCAUGGAUCCCAUGGAGAGGAAGAGGCUCUUCAUUGAGAGCAUCCCCCGCCUUUUUCCUCACAGAGUGAUCCGGGCCCCUGUGCCCUGGCACAGUGCCUAUAGGAGUGCUCACAAGUGGAACGAGGAGCAUCUGCACACGGUGAACCCCAUGAUGCUCAUCCUGAAAGAACUGUGGUUUACAGAAUUUAGAGACUUCAGGUUUGUUCGAACAGCAGAAUUGCUGGCAGGAGAACUUCCUCUGCAGCCUGAUGAGUACUGGGAUGUGAUCUGCAAGCACUGCGCAGAGGCGCGCCAGAUUCUCCUCAGCAAGAAAGGGGUCUUGACAGGUGAAGUGACCAAGAACAUGAAAUGA
rnacentral:lncRNA from 1 species